rnacentral:lncRNA from 1 species
AUUUUUAAUGAAAUAAUUAUUCCAUUACUUUUUUAUCAACCAAGCAUUAAAAUGAUUAUUCCAAUAGAAUGACAAUUUCUUUCCAUAUCUAUCAUUAUAUCCAAUCAAACGUUGAGAAACAAUAGCUACAAUGGUAAGACUCGAACGCCACCUCAUUACCACAUUCUACCCCAACAUUGAAUUGCUCUAGUAUUCAAUUUUUCUUUCAAACAUAAUUCUACAAAUACUUGCAUUGCAUUGGUUAUGUCUUCUUACAUUUUAUCACUUUAUUUUUGUGUAGGCAGAUUUGACAUUCAAAUCGGUUUUUAUUAUCCCCUUCGUCCCAAUUUAUUUUUUUAUUUUUAAAAAUUUAAUUUUUAAAGAAAUGAAAGAUACUUCAUUUUGAAAGUUUCGAACAUUACAAGAAUGUAUCGCAUUAAUUCAAAAGUAUAGGGAUAGAAAGAGAAAUUUACUAUACAAAAAUAAUUUAAAAAAAAAAAAAAAGAAAUGUGAUUGGUGUUAUGCUGAGUUGGUGCAAUUAGACUGAGGGUUCAUAGAAAAUUCUAUAGUCGAACAACCAGAGUAUUUUUGCUCCAACGGAACAAAGAACAAUGGGACACGUAGUCAAUGACGGUUACUUCACUCUCUCUACAAGCGCGUGAUUCCCCAUACGUAGAACCUGGAGUUCCAUAUUACGGUGUUGUACGCAUCAGGACCUGAUUGGUGGUCUUCCUAAAAAGUCAAACUAUAGAUGGAAGACUUCAUAGACGAAUAAAGGAAAGCUCUCAAGUCUUAUCCAAUCCACGACUCAUGGCGGUGUUAUCCUCUUUGCGGUGUUAUCAUUUGGGAUAACGAAUUUUUUAUUUUUUUUAAUAUUAUUUUUUGAUUUUUAGUAAUUUAUUUGGAUAAUUUUUUUAGUAUGUUUUUACUAGAGUAAUCAAAAAAGUAAAAAAUUACUACACACUAAGUUAAUCUUAUUUUUUUUCUUAUUUGGAUUAAUUUUAUUUUUACUAUUUAUUUGUAGAAAAAACUCUUUUAUUAUUUACUAACCGGGAAAAUUUUUAAAAAUUAAUUAAUAUAAAUUUACUAAAAAUAAAAAUAGUUAAAAAAAAUAUUUAUCUCAAACUUAGGCUCCGUUUGGAACCAGCUUAUUUGAGCUUUUCGACUGACUUUUUUACUUAAAAUAAGCAAAAAAGUCAGUCAGAGUUGAUUUUUUUGCUUAUUUAUUUUUACUUAUUUGCUUAUUUUUAUUUAAUGUAAAGUCAGAAAAGCAAAAAAACUAAAAAAUCUUAGUUUUUUUUGAUAGUAAGCUUAAAAAAAAUUUGACUUUUAAGCAUUACCAAACAGAGCCUUAGCCUUAUACGGAUUUGGGUCGUUGUUGUGCCAUCAUUGCACCGAAGGGGGGACCGAGGGGGUAGAGGUUCAUUUCGCACCCACUCAUGCAAUCUGAAUCAUUCAUUUGGUAGGAAUUGUCAAAAAAGAUUAUUCAUAUCAAAAUUUAAAUUGAUCGAAUCUCGAUAUUAACCAUAAGAUCUUAUCAUCUUCGUUUUGUAAAAAAAAUGAACUAAAUAUAUAUUUUUAACAUUGACCUUUCUCCGAUCAUAUGACGUUUAAUCCCUAAUCAAUACUUGAUUUAUUUAAAUGAAUAUUUCUGACAAACUCUACUAAUUAAACGGUUUGAAUUGAAUCAUUGAGCCAGGGAUAUAAACCGGUUGUAUUUGAAUCGUAGAUUUAAUGGAAGAAAAGGAAAAUGAUGGACCAUUAGAUCCUUUAACCCAUAUUUUUUUUCCUUUUACUUCACAGUUCACACAAUCUCUAAUCUAAACGCAAUUUAAAAGCCUAAGCCCUGUCUUAUCACGCGAUUCACGUUCUAAAGUCAUGUUGUGGUUGGUAAGCCUUGUCAUAAUUGCGGUGGGGUCGACGCAUGUGAUCGUUGCCUUUCCCAGGAACCACCCUCCCCGCGUGCAAAGAAAUUGAAAGGAUUGUUCCCCACAUUUUACUUGCAUUCUCUCUCCACGUUUUACAUGAAGUUUAUAAUUUCGAAUUAUCAAACCUCCUAAUUUGGACUGUGUUUUGCAGUUCAAGCAUUUUAAUUUUUAUUUGAAUCUAUUUUGAUAAUUUAAAUCAUUUAUGUUUAUAAUUUUCGUCUAAAAAUUAAUAUUAUAAAAGAUUAUGUUGAUCGGAUACAAAAUGAUAUUCGUUCAGUACUGUUUUUGUAAGAAGACAAAUUAUACAAUGACGUACCCUGACCUUAUUAGGACAGGAACCUCCGACGAGCUGUCGCUAUAGAGCGAGCUCAGUGGUCCCCUGCGUUGGAGUUCGGUGCGAACAUCAUUUGACACUACCCUUACUAGGGCAGAGGUGUCGACCAACCGUUGUCACAGAGACCCUUUGUGAUGAAGCUCGGAGAAGUCACCGCUACAGAAGAAUGCCCUCCCAAGCUAAGACCAUCAUUAAUCCCGAGGCACCGUUGCUUAGCGAGCUCAGAACAAUAACUGCCCUGAAAGCUUGGACGAGGGGCAAUGACCGACGAUAAUUCCAAGGGAUGACAGGGGACAAAUGGUAACUUGAACGAAAGAGUACCUUCUGACAACCCCCAUGCCUAGAUGAAGAUAUCGGCAGUUGAUGGUAAGCUAUUAGCCACGCUGUAGAGGCAUGAUCGGGUUAACCAUCCACCAACUGACACAAUAGGCGUCGAGCCACGCACUGAACUAAGGUAUAAAGGAGAACAUUGUUGUUCUUACGGAGGUAUGUGUAACCUUACUCUAAAAAGAUACAUAGACUUUCUCUCUCUAAGAUUCCGGACAUCUAACUUGAUCGUCGGAGAGUCAUUCUCGGAAACAGCUCCGGCGGCCGUUCUCAUCGUUCUUGUGCUCGCAGGCGAGGCAUCGCAGGUCAGUCGCUCAGGAGGUCAGAGCUACCCACGCAGCUGUAGUACUGCCACAGAUGUCUAUACUCGAUUUCCUCUCCUCUCUUCAUAUAACAACCCCCCAUAGUUUUAUAACUUAAUAAAUUAGUGUAACAAACAUGAAUAUAUUCAUUUACCUUGAUAUAAGUUAAUACUCUGUAUCUGAUUAAUAUAAAUUUUUUUACUAUAUUAAAGUUUUCGAUUAAGUCUAUAAUAUAAUUUAUUUAAAUAAUCAAAAGAAACUCAAAAUAAGACUCUGAAAUACUUGGAGUAGUUCAAAAUUAGACUGAUGAGGGGCCUGAAUCGUUUCUAAUAACAUCAUAUGAUUAGAAUUGUGCAAACAUGUUCCGACAUGUUUUGUAUCAUUUCAUUAAUGGGAUAACAAGAAUGUUAUUUUGCUUCAUAAUCCUUGUUAAAUUAAUCAACAGAAAAAUAUGUUUAAGAGAGAAAAAUGUUAAUCACAGCUCAAUAAAUCGUAGUUAAGAUUCAAAAAGUACAUUAGAAUGUGUGAA